AAUCUGUUGAAGAAGGCAACGCUCUCUACUCAGAAUCCCAGUUCAAACUGGCGUCUCCCAGUACAGUGAGGCUGUGGGCGUGAACCAGUAUGCCCAGUCCGAGGGCUCUGCCCCUCCCCCCAGAGAUACUGGAGCACCUGUACGUGAACCGGGCCGCUGCCCACUUCAGAAUGGGUCUCUAUGAGAAGGCUGUGCUGGACUGUGAUCAGGCUCUGCAGUUGAACGAGGGGAGCGCUAGAGCCCUCUACCGAAAAACCAGAGCCCUGAGUGAGCUGGAGAGAGACAGAGAGGCGUACGAGUGCAGCACAACACUGCCUGCUGACCGCCCCGCAUAAUGACCAGGUGAUCGCUCUUGCCCAGAAUUUGGCUCAGAAAACUGGGGCUGAAAGUCCGCAGAGCGUACACACGCACGCCGCAGAGCGAUUUUGAGGCUGCUGCCACCAACGGUGAAACAGUGACCCCUGCUGGCGAGGUAAAUAUGACACCAUGUGGCAAUAUAUUGUUUUAUUAAUACGAGCGAGUCCUUCAGCGGUGCAGAGG